rnacentral:snoRNA from 1 species
AAACCAUGCAUCGGGCAUUUUCUCAGUAGCUCCUUAAACCAUUCCCAUGCUUCAUAUAAUGUUUCAUCAUCUGAUUGUCUAAAUGAUGUAAUGUUGUUUCUCAACUU